rnacentral:rRNA from 1 species
CGGGUGAGUAAAGAAUCGCUAACGUACCCCGGACUCUGGGAUAGCUAUCCGAAAGGGUAGGUAAUACCAGAUGACAUAUCCGACCCGCAUGGGUUGGAUCUCAAAGGUCCGCCGGUCUGGGAGCGGGCGAUUUCGUAUCAGCUAGUUGGUGAGGUAACGGCUCACCAAGGCGACGACGCGUAGCCGGACUGAGAGGUUGGCCGGCCACAUUGGGACUGAGACACUGCCCAG